AUAUUACUCCCUCCGUCCGGAAAUGCUUGUCAUCAAAAUGGAUAAAAGAAGAUGUAUCUAGAUGUAUUUUAGUUUUAGAUACAUGUUUUUAUUCAUUUUGAUGACGAGCAUUUUCGGACGGAGGGAGUACGUG
rfam:Triticum aestivum genome assembly, contig: Triticum_aestivum_CS42_TGACv1_scaffold_031075_1BL